GAGUUUGAUCCUGGCUCAGAUUGAACGCUGGCGGCAUGCCUUACACAUGCAAGUCGAACGGCAGCACGGGAGCUUGCUCCUGGUGGCGAGUGGCGAACGGGUGAGUAAUGCAUCGGAACGUAUCCUGGAGUGGGGGAUAACGUAGCGAAAGUUACGCUAAUACCGCAUAUUCUGUGAGCAGGAAAGCGGGGGACCUUCGGGCCUCGCGCUCUUGGAGCGGCCGAUGUCGGAUUAGCUAGUUGGUGAGGUAAAGGCUCACCAAGGCGACGAUCCGUAGCAGGUCUGAGAGGAUGAUCUGCCACACUGGAACUGAGACGCGGUCCAGACUCCUACGGGAGGCAGCAGUGGGGAAUUUUGGACAAUGGGGGCAACCCUGAUCCAGCCAUGCCGCGUGAGUGAAGAAGGCCUCGG
rnacentral:rRNA from 1 species